UAUCAUUGAAAAUACAAAACAUCAAUUAAAUUAAAAGAAAAAAAAGCCUUCAUCAGAAUACACCCCUUCAUCUUCCUCUCCAAUCCCGAUUAAAAAUCUUGUUGGAAUAUAACCCUUUCUCGAAUUCUACCAUCAACAUCAAGAGAUUAAUUAUACUUCCACAAUAGAUCAAACCCAUAAAACUAAAGCCUAAAUCAAUAACAAUAUCUAAUUCUCAAAAAUCAAAACCCCAUUAUCACAAACCUAGAAGUUCCAAAUUCAGGAACUAAACUAAGAAUAGAGUCCUGCAAACGAGUAGUCUAGGGUCUAUUUUUCAUCAUUUUACAAAUUAUAUCUUCUAGUUUUUCUGGGUUUUGAUACUUGCUACUUGGAAUUCUUCGAUUAUUCGUUCCUUGGCCAUUUGGAGAUUCGGGUGCAAUCCUUUGGGUUGAAAUUGGGCGAAAGAGAGAGCAUUAUCGACUUGUUGGUAAGCUUUUAUCCUAGUUUCAACAUGUACUUCAAAUCAUCCUCAUGUUAUUAUUAUUAUUAUCUCCAAAAAUGAUACAGUAAUUAUAAACCAAAUCAGCAAGAGAUCAACUUAAGCAUUUGGGUAUUACUGAUUUUAUGUCAACUUUCUAAUAAAUAGAGAGAAAGAGGAGUGACCUGAGACGUGAAGGCAGCGAGCUCGAUGCUGGAAUUUGAUUCAUCCUUUUGGGAUUUGGAAGCUAGAACCAUAAGAGACCUGUUCGAUGACGUCGUUGGAAAGAGAAAAGCGACCCCACUGACGGCGAUUCCCAUUGCAGCAUCUGACUGAUGGCGGGUUGAGGAGGGUGAGUUGCAAAUAUUGGGAAAUUGGGCUGCCGUUGCUAAUGUGGCUGCCAUAUCCGUCGGUCGUAAUUCACCACAAAAUUCUUUUCUUUUUUUGGAUUUGAUUCUUCCUUUCUAUUUAAAUAAUCUUUAUUUUCUAUACAAGCCCA
rnacentral:lncRNA from 1 species